CGGAAGUGCGGGAACGGAAGCCUGCGCGGUGAGCGGGACUCCUGGGACCGGACGGUAACCAAAAACUCCCACUCCUGGUGUCUAUUUAUAUCCGAGGAGCGGCGCCGGCAGCCGGAGACGGAGGACAGCAGCGAACCUAUUGUACACAAGGAAUCUGGACCAGGUGCACACGUGAAGCCGGCACAGUGUUGGAUCUGCUAUAUCGAGACCACAGCACCAAUGAGGAUGAAUUAUAAAGCUAUAUACACACUAUACGAUUACAGCAUCUGUCCAGUCUGGCUGUUUGGAAUGAAAAUCUGAAUGAGCUAAUCGUAAAGGGCUCUAUGUAUCCCAAUCAUCACAUUACCUCAUCAACUGCCCAAAAUACUCAAUUAAAAAUCCGCUUAACAAGAAUAUCCUUGGUGGUACAUGCUGGGUGCAGACGUUCCCGAACACAGAACCUUCCCCUUAUCACUUGUGGCCUUGUGGCCAUCUCACAAACUACAGAACUUUUCCAUGCCUGAAGCUUGAAAGCUUUCCAUGAGACAAGAGGAACAAUCCUUAUUCAUCUCUUAUUUUACUGAAAAUGUAUAAAA